rnacentral:tRNA from 1 species
UCCCUGGUGGCUCAGAUGGUAAAAGCGCCUGCUUGCAAUGCGGGAGACCCAGGUUCAGUCCCUGGGUUGGGAA